rnacentral:rRNA from 1 species
UAACGAAUAUUGGGCAAUGGGCGAAAGCCUGACCCAGCGAUGCCGCGUAUAGGAUGAAGUCCUUCGGGAUGUAAACUAUUGUCAGGGGCUAGAAAGCCGUAAGGUUGAUCAGCCCCGGAGGAAGUCACGACUAACUUCGUGCCAGCAGUCGCGGUAAUACGAAGGUGACAAGCGUUAUUCGAAAUCACUGGGCUUAAAGGGUGCGCAGGCGGAAACAUAAGUGUCUUGGGAAAACCCCCGGCUUAACCGGGGAAUUGCUCGGCAUACUGUGUUUCUUGAGGCAAGCAGGGGUGUGUGGAACUCUUGGUGGAGCGGUGGAAUGCGUAGAUAUCAAGAGGAACGCCGAAGGUGAAGACAGCACACUGGGCUUGUCCUGACGCUCAGGCACGAAAGCGUGGGGAGCAAACA